rnacentral:rRNA from 1 species
UGGGGAAUUUUGCGCAAUGGGGGGAACCCUGACGCAGCGACGCCGCGUGCGGGAUGAAGGCCUUCGGGUCGUAAACCGCUUUCAGCAGGGAAGAACAACGACGGUACCUGCAGAAGAAGCUCCGGCUAAAUACGUGCCAGCAGCCGCGGUAAUACGUAUGGAGCGAGCGUUAUCCGGAUUCAUUGGGCGUAAAGCGCGCGUAGGCGGCCGCCUAAGCGGAACCUCUAAUCCCGGGGCUCAACCUCGGGCCGGGUUCCGAACUGGGCGGCUCGAGUGUGGUAGAGGAAGGCGGAAUUCCCAGUGUAGCGGUGAAAUGCGCAGAUAUUGGGAAGAACACCGAUGGCGAAGGCAGCCUUCUGGGCCACCACUGACGCUGAGGUGCGAAAGCUAGGGGAGCGAACAGG